UACAUCUAUUUCUCAAUUGUAGUUGUCUGGCUUUAAUUAUAAUAUUAAUAGGCUUAUCUGAACUAAUUAUUGGCAACUUGCUAAUGGUUCCACCCACGCAAAAAGUAAUCUCAUGUGGAUUGAUGAGGACUCAAGAGUAUAAUCAAUUGAAUUGUUGGUCAAGAGACUGCUUCAGUGACUCAGUUUAACCUUGCGUUUAGGAGAUUAGAUAGCUCAGGGAAUCCUAUGAGAGCUCCAUGUGUCUUACCUCUUGGGGG
rnacentral:lncRNA from 1 species